rnacentral:rRNA from 1 species
CCUACGGGGGGCAGCAGUGGGGAAUAUUGGGCAAUGGGGGCAACCCUGAUCCAGCCAUGCCGCGUGUGUGAAGAAGGCCCUCGGGUUGUAAAGCACUUUCAGUGAGGAAGAACGCCUGGUGGUUAAUACCCAUCAGGAAAGACAUCACACACAGAAGAAGCACCGGCUAACUCCGUGCCAGCAGCCGCGGUAAUACGGAGGGUGCGAGCGUUAAUCGGAAUUACUGGGCGUAAAGCGCGCGUAGGUGGCUUGAUAAGCCGGUUGUGAAAGCCCCGGGCUCAACCUGGGAACGGCAUCCGGAACUGUCAAGCUAGAGUGCAGGAGAGGAAGGUAGAAUUCCCGGUGUAGCGGUGAAAUGCGUAGAGAUCGGGAGGAAUACCAGUGGCGAAGGCGGCCUUCUGGACUGACACUGACACUGAGGUGCGAAAGCGUGGGUAGCAAACAGGAUUAGAUACCCCUGUAGUC